rnacentral:rRNA from 1 species
UACGUAGGUGGCGAGCGUUGUCCGGAUUUACUGGGCGUAAAGAGCGCGCAGGCGGCUGGGCAAGUCCGAUGUGAAAGCUUCCGGCUUACUGGAAAAAUUGCAUCGGAAACUGCUCGGCUUGAAGGUGGGAGAGGGUAGCGGAAUUCCCGGUGUAGUGGUGAAAUGCGUAGAUAUCGGGAGGAACACCAGUGGCGAAGGCGGCUUCCUGGACCUGUUCUGACACUGAGGAGCGAA